rnacentral:rRNA from 1 species
UACGUAGGGUGCGAGCGUUAAUCGGAAUUACUGGGCGUAAAGCGUGCGUAGGCGGUUUGCCGUGUCCUGUGUGAAAGCCCCGGGCUCAACCUGGGAAUUGCAUGGGAAACUGGCAGGCUUGAGCGUGGCAGAGGAGGGUGGAAUUCCGCGUGUAGCAGUGAAAUGCGUAGAGAUGCGGAGGAACACCGAUGGCGAAGGCAGCCCUCUGGGCCAACACUGACGCUCAGGCACGAAAGCGUGGGGAGCAAACAGG